UAUUUCAUGAUAAACUUAUUGCGUAGAAAAGUUGAGACGGUGGCUAAACCCUUAUAGAAAGUGGGGUGAUGCCUAUGAUUAAUAAGUAUUGUUCCACUAGAAAGGAAUAGUAUGUCAGUGUUCCAGGCACUAACAUUAGCAAUUAGUUUUGCUUUGUUAGUAAUUGAAAUAUUGAAAUUUAA
rfam:Pediococcus acidilactici DSM 20284 genomic scaffold SCAFFOLD1, whole genome shotgun sequence.